GGGAGAGAAGGAGUUAGUCUUAUUCCCAUUUUAUAGAUGCAGAAGCUGAAUCUCAGACUAGUGAAGGGACUUGCCCCAGAUCCCAUAGGGGGUCACUUGAGGCCUUCUGCAUCAUCGGCUCUUAUAAUUUGAAGGCAUUUAGGAGGCCCAUCUUGCUUAGUACAACCCCUUGUUUUACAGAUUCCUUCCCAGCCUCACAAUCUAAACUUAAAUCCUAGGCAGAUAAGAGUUCAGAUACUGUGAUGGAGAGAACUUUGAAAUGGAGUAGACCCAGCAGGAAGUGAAAUAACUUGGUAUCCUUUAAAGGGUUUAGAACUAGAAGAGACCUUAGAGGCCCUUUAAUCCAACCUCCCUUAUUUUAAAGAUGAGGAAACCCAGAGAAGCUCUCUGGCCAGAUCUGGUAUCUAUCUACUGCUCCAGGGUAGUCCAACAAGAGGAGUUUGAGUUCUGUCACUUUUAAUGUGUUACCUUGGGCCACAGUUUUCAUCUAAAAUAAAGGGACUGGAUCAGAUGGUUUCUAAAGUUCUUUUCAGCCUUCAAAAUAAGGAAAUCAUCAUCACACGCAUGAAUGAAUGAUAAGGUGUCAAUGAGACGGUGGCCACCAGGAGGCGCACAGAUUCUCCUGGUUAAGAGAAACAAAGGCUUUUCACGACCCACUUUUCCUCAUUCCUCUGUUUUUGUCAUGCAUUCUCUGGAGGAAGAUUGAGAGCGAGGAGAAUAAUAUUCUUUAAUUGGGCAAGAUACUGACCAAGUCGGGCAUUAUGUUUGAAGUGUGUCUGAUGUUAGGAUGGAGAAAGGCCCCAUUGGUUGGUUGUUUUUUUCUAUGAUGUAAUGGAAAAAUCAGUGGACUCGGAGUGCUGGGUUCCAAGCCUGGCUUUUGUACCAGCUGUGCAACCACGGCAUCCUGGCGAGGUCUACGGAGGAGCGGACACCCUGACAAGCACAGUUAGCUUCUGAUGCUCAGUCCUCAGAUCCCUGGGGCCAUCAGAAUACGGAGAGGAUUUUGUUGGGACAGAGCCAGAAGCAGGAUGGCUGCCCUUUUCCCAAGAGCAUAACUGUUGAGACACCCAGAGCUAAUGCUUCACCCUUUGAUUGACCUGGUGAUCCCCUCCUCAGGAAUUGAUCACAGCAUACUUCUGCUGACGUUGUGGGAUGGCAGUGAGGUUGGGGAGAGGGAUGGACAGAUCCCUCUGCACCGUGGCAUCUGAUGAUCAGAUUGGAAACUAUUAACCAAACUUGUCGAGUAGGCCCGGGCAUGUUUGGGGUUUUUAUCAGCCAGGCAUCGGGAGGGAAAAAUGGGAGGAAUGUAGAACAGAACAUGCCUUCUAAAAGGUAUGUGGGAAGUCUGUGCAAAGUUACUGACCAUAUACCCCUACCUUCACAGGCCUGAGGCCUGAAUUGGUCAAUAACCUCAAGGACCCUAUUUUUAAAACCUUAUAAAUAGGUAUUCCCUCAAGCUGGGGAAGUUGAAGUAAACAGAGGGCUUAAAUGAAUGUUGGGCUUUCUUACCCCAGGCUGGAGCUGUCUGCAGUGUGACUCAGCAUAUUAAUGAGAUCAAACAGUCAAGUUCAUUGGAUGAGCUCAGAAGGAAUUCACAGACCCCCUGAGUUUCUCGUUGGGGGAUUGAAGGGUGGAUGGGCAUCAAGUGUUAACCCCUUGUGGUGGGCUAGCAUGGUUUUAUUUCCUAAAGCUGUGCCCAUGGAGUAACUGACUGACUGAAGAGGCAAAGGCUUUUUAGUUUAGAAAUUCACAUCAGUUUCUGUGUGAUGUUCUGUGAGGGUCUUGGGGCAUUUAUUCCUUGAUUGAUAAAGCUUUUUCUUUAGUACCCCCGAGCUUGAUCCUUUUUUUUCCUGCUGCUGAGAAUGACAGGUAGCAUCUAUAUUUAGCAAUUAGAAGUGUAAUAGACUACUGCUGUCCCAUAAGAAGUAAAUGUAUGAAGAAUAAGGUAAAUGUUAAGAAAAGCUUAUACAGAGGGAUAGAUUCAGAAGAGAACACAGAUCAGAUUAGUAGUCAUUUUGUUAAAAAUUGUAUCACACCAGAAAAGCAGAAUGAAAGAAGUUUUCAGAGAAAUGUAGUUUUCCAACAAAAAGAUGGGUCAAUCAUGUGGUAUGGGCAAAGAAUGACCACUGGAAGUACCUGCAAGAUUGUUGGUAGCCACCUAAUGUCAAGUGAUAGGGGAAGAUUUCUGGCACAUGGGGUUGGAGCCCCAUUUGUCAUAUUUGUUGGAGAAAUAUGGUAAAAAAUCACACAGGAUGGACAGGCCUAGAUGGACAUUUGUAUAAUGGGAGUAAAUACCUACUUUGAGGAGAUCAUAGAGCCACUGAAAUAUCAAAAAAUCAAAGUUUUAUUCUUUUAUAAUCAAGCAUUGUAAUUCAGAUUUAAAGUAUUUUUUUUGAAAAUUUACUCCUUUUUCAAUUUAUUUGUCCUCGUUGAAUGUGUUAAUUUUUCAAGAGGAGAACAAAAUGAUAUAGGGAGAGAAUAGUGCAAAUCCUUCCUUCUUAGGCUGUCCACCCAUCUCCACAUAUUUACAUUAUGUGUCUUUCUCUUGGUUUCACAGCCCAACCUCAGGGGCCUCUCUGCAACUUUAGAGGAUCCCUGACAGGUUGGGUUUGAGGAAAGUUAAGACAUGAAUGCAUUCUGAGUCUGACCCAGGCCCUUAGAGAAGGGUCUCUUUUGGGGCAUGAAGCAGCCAGCUUUCCUGACUCAUCCCCCAGGCAGAAGGCAGAUGCUCCCUCUUCCAGUCAUCCAAACGCAUGCCCCUGUGCUCAGUCCUUGGAGAGCAGCUUACAAUCUACAGGGAGGAUGCACACACCAUAAGUUUAGAUAAGGCUGAACCUGAUGUAGCAAAGGAGAGAACUAGAUAAGCAUUUUCUGCUAGGGAAAUUCAGGGAAAUUGUUGCUUAUUAUGAUGGAUUUUAUCCAUUGCUUCAGAGGAUUUAAUUGUAACUUAAGUAGAAAGUUAAAAUAAAAAGAAAGAUCUGCAAUGUAACAUCAGAAAGAGGGAGUCAAAGAUCAGGGGCACAUUGUAUAUUCCUAGGGAUCAUAGAACUAAAGCUGAAGGGAGUUUUUAGAGGUCAUCUGGUCCAUUUUACAAGUAAAGAAACUGAGACUCAGAGAAAUUGAAUGACUUGUUCAAGGCCACACAAGUAGAAAGUAGCAGAGCCAGAAUUUGAACUCUCAGAUAUCUGGGAAAAUUGCUCUUCUUCCCUGGGUAUUUCUGAAGAGGAAAUUGUCAGGCAGAGACUGCACUUGUCUUUCUCUAUAUUUUCUUCUAGUCAAAGAAUCUGCUCUUUCAAGUUUUUGGGCCAACUUGAAACAGCAUUUCCAGAAUGGUUUAGGUGAUAGAAGGAAGAUUCAGCUUAGGUGACAAGGGAAGGAGGGAAGAAGUAAUAGAGAUUUGGCUGAGGUCAUUAAACCCUCAAAAUGUAAUGUGGCCUGUGACUAUACUUCAGAAAUAGAUUCUUUGAUCCUCCAUUGCUGAAGCCUCUAUACCGCCUUUAAUUGCAUUUUAUCUCAGCAUCUCAUUGCUAGCCCUUUGAGAAGGAUGGAAAUUUCCACCUGGAAGCCAAAGGGAUGACCAAGUCUCAGAGAUGGGGAGAAGGCACAAGGAAAUUUCCAUCACAAAAGCUAUGACAGAAUGAGGACCACUGGAUUGAUGUUUGUGGCUGAUGGUGCACAAGCCAUGGUGGAUCAAACUCCUGGUGCCUUGGUAUGAAUCAAGGCUACAGCAUUAAACUGUCCUAAUAGUCACUGUAUCCUUUGCCAGUUUCACUUAAGACUGUCUUUGAUGAAGCAAUAAAAAUGAUUAAUUUUGUUAAAUUUCA